GAUGAACGCUGACAGAAUGCUUAACACAUCAGCAAUUGAUUGGUGGCGGACGGGUGAGUAACGCGUAAAGAACUUGCCUCACAGGUAGGGACAACAUUUGGAAACGAAUGCUAAUACCUUAUACUGUGGGAGAGCUUUACGUAACAUUAGCUCGUUGGAGAGGUAACGGCUCACCAAGGCGAUGAUGGGUAGCCGGCCUGAGAGGGUGAUCGGCCACAGGGGGACUGAGACACCGCCCUUACUGCUACGUGCGGCAGCAGUGGGGAAUAUUGGACAAUAGACCAAAGUCUGAUGCAGCAAUUCUGUGUGCACGAUGAAGUUUUCGGAAUGUAAAGUGCUUUCAGUUUGGAAGCGGUACCAACAGAAGAAGUGACGGCUAAAUACGUGCCAGCAGCCGCGGUAAUUC
rnacentral:rRNA from 1 species